rnacentral:rRNA from 1 species
UACGUGAGUAACCUGCCCUUGACUCUGGGAUAAGCCCGGGAAACUGGGUCUAAUACUGGAUGCUACAUGUCACCGCAUGGUGGUGUGUGGAAAGGGUUUACUGGUCUUGGAUGGGCUCACGGCCUAUCAGCUUGUUGGUGAGGUAAUGGCUCACCAAGGCGACGACGGGUAGCCGGCCUGAGAGGGUGACCGGCCACACUGGGACUGAGACACGGCCCAGACUCCUACGGGAGGCAGCAGUAA